GCGCCUGCCCCCAAUUCGAAUCCCUUCUCGCCCCCAUCCGAUCACCGAAGCUCCCCGACUCGCAGCCCUAUCCCUAACCCGUCCCCUCCCUCCUCUCCCUUCGUGGCCGCUGUCUCCCCCGCUGCCGAUCCCUCGACCUGCCGUUCACUGCGCUCCGAAUGGGCAGCUCGCCACCCUUGGGCUAACCACGUCGUCCUCAACGACCUUAAGGGUUCUGCCGCCGCGACCCCACCUCUACGCUGCCGCUGGCCACUUUGAUCCCCUUUCCGGAGCCAUCCGAUCGGAUGCAGCCUCUGGAGGACGUGGCGCCGUCGUAGUUGGAAGCGGCCGCCCAAUGGCUCGAUCGAGGUGGGCGCAGCUGUGAUGGGAGAGCCGCCGCUUGGCUCGUCCUUUCCGACUCCCUUAAAUAUCCCCUUCCGAUGCUCUGAAACCCCUUUCCGAUGGAACGCCAUCCUCUUCGGAUUUCCCAGGUUUUGGUCAAGAAUUCGACGAGUUUUAGAUGGAAGUGAUUUAAACCUAUACGUCGUUGGAACGAUGCAGCGUGGAUAGUAACAAUGGUGCACCUCCCGAUGGUAGAGUGGCGUCGCCCUCACCACCACAGACGUCGUAUCUUAUGCCUCUGGCGAACUCGAAAAAGCUGGCAGCCACGGAGCUCUCGGCUCGAGACCAAACUACCAAGAACGCGACCAAUUGGGACCAUGGUUCCGGGUUGGGAUCAACACAACAACUACGGUAACAGGGUGCCCGGCCCUACCUUGGACCGCCUGCACCAUCUGUCAUUCCUCGGUCCUCCGCAGGUGCAGCCUUAUGAGAAUCCAAUGGCCUUCCUGGUUUGGUUCAUACGAUGAUGACAACGUUCUUAAUCUACCUUCAGAUAUGCCUUAUCCUAUCUUUUAUGUUGCCACGCAGCCACCCACCUUCUGGGGUCUGCCCGUUGUUGCUCAUCCGGCAGGUGCAGCCUUCUGAGAAUCCAAUGGCCUUCCUGGUUUGGUUCAUUCGAUGAUGACAAUGUUCUUAAUCUACCUUCAGAUAUGCCUUAUCCUAUCUUUUACGUUGCCACUCAGCCAGCCACCUUCUGGGGUCUGCCCUUUGUUGCUCAUCCGGCAGUGCCCCUUGCAAUGGUUAUUUCAGCUGUUGAACCGCAACGUGCUAAUCUAUUGAAGCAGAUAGAUUACUAUUUCAGGUUGUAUGCUGGGCAGAGUUCUAAUUGACGUCAAUAUAACAGACAGCUCCGGUCGAUACAAAGUGACUUACCAACGGCUCUGAUUGGUACAAAGUUAUUGGCCAAUGCAUGUUUUGAAUUGAUUUACAUUGUUUCUGUUGAUCUAGUGCAUUUUGAUCUAAAAGUCAUCGAUACUGAAUCAUCUGAUAUUAUCAUGAACUUCCAGUCUUAGUUUGCUUGUGUAGUUAGGCAUCAGAUAUCUUUUAUGGAUGUUUAAUAUGGUCUAAACUUGUUUCUAUUGGCUUAUUGUUUCUUGAAUCUUCUUUCAAUUCACUGCCCAAAUAUGUUGUUGCAGUAUUGAAAAACUGCUCUUGCAAUAUUGUUCAGAUCAGACAAAAAACAAGCAGCAAAAAAUUCAUGUUGGAUAUGUUGCAGUUGUCAUCUGUAGUCGAAGUACAGGUUGAAUCAAAAAAAGAAAAAGAAAACUAUAAAAGAGCGGAUUUGAAGAGAAGAUGUUGAUGCGAGAUGUCUGGUGGUGAUGACCUUUUUCAGUCAAUAGAACAUUUAAAAGCUGAUCCUUUAAAAGGCUUCUUUCAGAUUAUGAACGACCAAAAGGCAUAUACAUAUGAUAGGCAGAAAUAUAGGGGAAAACCUCAGCGAAGCUUAUUCUGGGCUACUGCCUGACACAGCUCGUCCUCGUAGAACAGAACUCGAGUGGAAGCUACGGGCUUGAAGAUUGGCCUCGGCAGACCCGGUGGCAUGAUUCGCCCCGGACGGAGUGUCGACUCCUGGAACAGGACAGCUGCGAUCUGCCUCAUAUCCAUCAGGUGAAGGCGAGGACGAGGGCCGUGUCUUGGAGCUUUCGGUGUGUGCGGGGUUGGCCUCUUUCCAUCUGCCUUGCUGGAAAUCCACAAGGAUGUAGUAAGCCGAGAAGAAGAGGAGGAAUGAAAUGAGUAGGAACGACGAGCUGCAAUGUGUCCAUCGAGUCAUGUACCUCACAAAAGGCCAAUGUUCGGUCGGCACCGGAGUCUUGGUGUUGAGCAUCUCUUGCCUGGACCGGUCUGGGGUCGUGUAAUUGAAAUGCAAUUGCCUGGCCAGUAGUACCUAGCCCAAGAUUCAAUUUUGAGUAAUCGUUGAAUCAGAUGCAAGGCACCAAACAUCUCAAUUGAAAAAAGAUAUGUGGUGCUGCAGCUAACGGAUGCAGUUGGAAGGGGAGAAGAAGCAAGCACGAGAGAGCACUUACAGCUGUUCGAAUUCUCUGGGAAACAUGGAAAACAGCUCGUAGCUGAUCAUGAUGCAGGUGGCAGAGGAUUUUGACCUUCCAACGAGAAUAAUCAUGUGUCAGAGGAAGCUUCUGCUGCUUAGCAUCAUCUAUUGCGAGAUGAGAGCUGACCCUAAUGGGAGACACGAUCGGUGAAUCGCUCUGAAUGACCUCAUCCCGAUUAAGCAGAUCAAUCUCCGCCUUCUCUGACUGCAAC